GGUUUUUCAAGAACUUUAUAAUUCAGAAUUUUCUCUCGCUUUGAAAUAGAUUGAAGAGAAACAAAGAGAAUUACAGAAUUACAACGACAGAAAAGAAGAAGCGUCAAAAGCAUUUAUUUUUGAUUCACAUAUAUAUUGGUUUCUGUGUUAUCUUGUUUUGUAUUGGUUUACUUCUUUAUAUUGUUGCGCAUGCUGCGUUGGCGGCUCGCUUAUUUUGGCUAGGAUGAAGUUUUGUCUCGGUUCCCGCACCGCCAUCAUUACGAGUUUUGAGCUCCAUCCUUGCUCCUCUCAAAGGCAUUGCACUGUUUG